rnacentral:rRNA from 1 species
GACGAACGCUGGCGGCGUGCCUAAUACAUGCAAGUCGAACGCAGUGGGGACGGGUGAGUAACACGUGGGUAACCUCCCAUCAGAGGGGAUAACACUUGGAAACAGGUGCUAAACCGAUAUUGAUGGAUGGACCCGCGGUGCAUUAGCUAGUUGGUGAGGUAACGGCUCACCAAGGCCACGAUGCAUAGGCGGCCUUGGAGGGGGGUUCGCCCAACUGGGACCGAGACACGGCCCCAUCUGCUUCCGGAGGGCAGAGUAGGGAAUUUUUCGCCAAGGACGAAAAUCUGACCGGGCCACGCCGCGGGAGGUGAGAAAGUUUUCGGAACCUAAAACCCUGGUGUUGGGGAAGGGGUAUCUACCAGAAAGCCACGGCUAACUACGUGCCAGCAGCCGCGGUAAUUC